rnacentral:misc_RNA from 1 species
UCUUCACUAGCAUGGUUUAUGUCAAAUCAGGAAACCAGCUUUGUUACAAUUGGGCAAAGAUUGUUGGCCAAUCCAUUGAAAGUACGUUUCCACUAUGGUCAUCCUGAUGUAUUCGAUAGAUUGUUUCAUUUAACAAGAGGUGGUGUGAGCAAGGCUUCCAAAGUCAUCAACCUAAGUGAAGACAUAUUUGCCGGUUUUAAUUCUACCCUGCGGGGGGGUAAUGUUACUCACCAUGAGUACAUCCAAGUUGGUAAAGGAAGAGAUGUUGGCCUUAACCAAAUUUCACUGUUUGAGGCAAAGAUAGCUAAUG